rnacentral:lncRNA from 1 species
AAAAGAAAAGUUCUGGUAAAUACCUCCGGGAUGAAGGUCAUCGUGACUGGCGGAACCGCUGGUGGAGCUAUCGUCGCCGAAGCUGUCGGUGGGGCCUCUAUCGCCGAUGAAGCUGCUACCGCCGCCGCUGGAGCUGCUGCCGCCGGGAUCUCUGGUGCUGGUGAAGUUCCUGACGGCGCCGCCAUUGGGGAGAUGGUGUGGAAUGUGGAUGAAAAGGGGGUUGCUGGAGGAUGUGAUUGGAAGCUAAAAGGGCACUGGAGGAAGAUGGAAACUAGUGCGCCAAGAAAGAAAGUUACUGGCUUGUGAAGGAGAAGUGCGAAACGUGCCAGUAUUUAAGGACGGUCUAAGAAGGGGUAAAGGCGGGAUUUUUACCGCGCCGUUUACACGAAUUUCGGGGGAGUGGUUGUCUCAGGCACCCGUUUCGAAAAGAUUGUAAUCAUCAGGCAGAAGACCGUGAAACGGACAGAUAUUCUUAAUGCGUUUGUUUCGGAGGGGAAGUUGAAAAGAAUUUCGAAGUAAAGAUUAUGUUUUACUCCGAAACUGGGGGGCAUGUGUUGAUGCCAGAUUUGAACACAUAAGGAAUCGGUGUCAAGGAGGAAAGGAUUGACCGAUGCGGCAAGUUAAAAGGUCACUAUUAGGAAUCGACCGAUUGGUGCUACAGUUGGAGAUCGGCCGAUUGGCGCUACAGUGUUCUGAUGGAUAGAGUUGGUGGAGAUCGGCCGAUUGAAAGGCUGGAGCAAUUGAGCUAAUAUGGGCUUGAAGUGAGUCGAAAAGAGAAGACGAAGGGGGAUUGGCCUGUAGGAGUGCAAUAACCAACUCCGAUAUGAGUUGUACUUGUAAAUAUUCGUUUUCGUUUAAAAUUAGAGAUAUAUCCUAGUCGGUUAGGAAAUUGGUUGUAACAGGCUAUAAAUAGCCAUCUUUAGAGAUUUGUAAACAACACAUCAAUCAAUA